rnacentral:rRNA from 1 species
CCUACGGGAGGCAGCAGUGGGGAAUAUUGGACAAUGGGCGAAAGCCUGAUCCAGCAAUGCCGCGUGUGCGAUGAAGGCCUUAGGGUUGUAAAGCACUUUCAGUAGUGAGGAAAAGCACGAUAUUAAUACCAUCAGUGCCUUGACGUUAGCUACAGAAGAAGCACCGGCUAACUCUGUGCCAGCAGCCGCGGUAAUACAGAGGGUGCAAGCGUUAAUCGGAAUUACUGGGCGUAAAGCGCGUGUAGGUGGAAAUUUAAGUCAGAUGUGAAAGCCUUAGGCUUAACCUAAGAACGGCAUUUGAUACUGAAUAUCUAGAGUAUGGUAGAGGAAAGUAGAAUUUCCGGUGUAGCGGUGGAAUGCGUAGAUAUCGGAAGGAAUACCAGUGGCGAAGGCGGCUUUCUGGACCAAUACUGACGCUGAGACGCGAAAGCGUGGGGAGC